rnacentral:lncRNA from 1 species
CUCUCUUCUUGAAGUAAUUACAUGGAAACUGAGUCUGGGUGGGUCUUCAUUCUCUGGAGGUCCCUGACUAAACCAGCCUCAGCACGCCCAGACCCCCGUUUCUCAGCCCUGCACCUCAGCCUUCAGACAGAGCUGCCUUGCCACAGACAUAGCGGUUCUGUGGGAUAAUUGCAUUUUAAUUGAACUGUCUGUACCACUCUGUAAACGCCUCUGCAGAGAUAGAAGAAUGUGUAGCUUGAUAAAUAAAUUCAUCUCUGCUAAUAAUUCCUUCUGCGUAGGGUUUACGGGUGGACCUAACCUCUGGAAGAAGGUGCCACAGAGAAGUAUGUGCUGAGAACUCAUUAAUUUUCUCUCUCUAAGUCAUUUCACAUGUCGAGAUGGACACGGCCUGCCCAGUGUUCUCUCACAUGGGAAGUCUGUGCACCUGCAAGAGGAUGUGUGGGCGGCUUUCUCCUUCAGUGCCUGGGUUGUGAUUAGAGCCCUGUAGAAUUUUAUCUCAAUCUUUCAUGUGAAGAGCUUUGGGCAUCCAGAGACAUAAAACAUCUCUUUGGAUGCAUACACAUUCUGUGUUUUCUUUAUUCUCAUUAUGUGCACCACUGCCAGAUAGAAGAUAGGCCUGUGCCUCAAACCUUACCCUCCCUGGAGUGGUCUGAAGACCAUGUGUGCUACCUACUUCACGCUUUAUUAUCUUGCCUUCUUCAUUUGCCUCUUUUCAACCAACCAACCAACCCACCCACCAACCAACCAACUAACCAACUAACCAACCAAAGACAAACAAACCCUGCAUCUCCCUCUACAAUUUAGAGAGGUAUGUCGCCCUAAUCCAGUUAAGCUUCAGUCAGUGAGACCCCCACGAUUCCAUGCCCGGUGCUGCCCAGUGUUCCUCGCCAUGCCCUAAAAUCCUCCUUUGCCAGAGUGAGUUUUCAACCACAAAAUUCGGCUACUUAAACCGCCUUUAAAACUUUAAAACGUAACGUUACGUGCAGGGACAACAGUCCCUACUUGUGUGGUGGUGAGGAACAACCAUCCUGGUAAGCAUUCAGCAGAGGGCCUGGCACGUUGUCAUCGUCCAGUAAGUGUUGUCCAGUUGCCCCUGGUGCCCUCUCCUCAUCCUCGUUUCCCCCCUAUUUGUCCGCUAUGCCUGUUGUCUCGUCACCCCUUGGGCUGGUGUUGGGCUAGACUUACGUGACGCAGGCAGAAACAGCCUUCGUCUCUGACACUGGGACUGAUGGAGAUGCAGAGGAUGCUGUUAACCUGCUUUUUUUUUUCCUUUUCUUUCUUUCUUUCUUUUUUUUUUUUUUUAUUAAGCCCUGAAAAAAUAACACCUGUUUCUAACCACAAAGCAGCAGGUCGAGUUAAUUUAGUCACAUCUGAAAUAUGGCAUUCCUCUUCCUAAAAGGAAAAUGUUAAGGAGAUAAACUGGAAGUGUGAUUAGAAAUCUCUGUGUUGUGCAGCUUGUUUUGCGCCUCUGUGUAUGUAGUCUAGAAUCUAAUAUUAGCUCUUAGGCACGCACCAUCCAGCUUAAGGCUUUUUUUUUUUUUUUUGUCAUCUCCCAGGCAACUAGAGGGUUUCAGCCUGCCUUUGUGGAGAUCUGUGAUGCUUGGAGAUCUGUCUUAAAGUUACGUGCACUUCUACCAAGUGAAGGUGUGGACUUCCUGCUGGAGAGUGACAUGGGUCCUAAACUGAGAAUGGGGUCUCUUUCUCUUCCUGAUAGCAUGAGCUUGCUCCUCCACCAGAACUCAAAAAAGCUAUGCAGAGAGAGGAGCCUUUAGUAUAGCUGUAGAAGGUCAGACAACAAGAGGGACAGGAUAGCAAAUGAAUGAAAGCAUACUGCAGCGGGUUUGCUUGUUCACUUCCAGGAUCUUCGUCCCAGUGGCAACCCCUGAUCGAGGAUCUCAAGUGUGCCCUCUGUGUAUAAACUGUAGUUUACUAUUUCUGGGCAAUUGUUCUAACUGGGAACCAUGUUUUUCUGCUUGG